GACGAACGCUGGCGGCGUGCCUAAUACAUGCAAGUUGAGCGCUGAAGGUUGGUACUUGUACCGACUGGAUGAGCAGCGAACGGGUGAGUAACGCGUGGGGAAUCUGCCUUUGAGCGGGGGACAACAUUUGGAAACGAAUGCUAAUACCGCAUAAAAACUUUAAACACAAGUUCUAAGUUUGAAAGAUGCAAUUGCAUCACUCAAAGAUGAUCCCGCGUUGUAUUAGCUAGUUGGUGAGGUAAAGGCUCACCAAGGCGAUGAUACAUAGCCGACCUGAGAGGGUGAUCGGCCACAUUGGGACUGGGACACGGCCCAAACUCCUACGGGAGGCAGCAGUAGGGAAUCUUCGGCAAUGGACGAAAGUCUGACCGAGCAACGCCGCGUGAGUGAAGAAGGUUGUCGGAUCGUAAAACUCUGUUGGUAGAGAAGAACGUUGGUGAGAGUGGAAAGCUCAUCAAGUGACGGUAACUACCCAGAAAGGGACGGCUAACUACGUG
rnacentral:rRNA from 1 species